rnacentral:lncRNA from 1 species
AGUUUGAAGAACCUCUUUAAACUCUGAAGGAAACAUUUUAAAUAACAGAAGCAAAAUAUUUUUGAAAAAAGAACUCUAAAAUUGCUAGAAGUGAGUUGGUGCAAAGAAUAGAAUUGCUUACAGAGCAAGAAGAAAGCCUACGAUUGAACCUGGAACAUCUUUUUGGGUGGUAUUAACUGGAGUUGUUUUCUUCGUAGGUUUUACUUUCCUUCUCAUGAUGCCAGAAGUACAUUUGGUACCAGGAUAAGAAAUUCCUGUUCCUCUUUGUUGUUUUCACACUUGAAAUGUUUGUGGAGGGUUAUUGGAUCCCCCCUGGGUCCCUCAUGCUGUGCCUCUGCCAAGGUGGAGACGUUCACUGCUUUAUAAUCUUUCCAGGCUGUGUGUUCUCCCAGGCUCUCACAUAGCCACCCGAGUCAUUGCAGCUCUUCUCUAGAUUAAUUGUGUUUUAUUUUCAGCCAGCUGAUAAUCUUCAGGGACAGAAAACCAGAUAUUCCAAGGGGAGUCCUGUUGAUGACCCAGUUAGCGAGCGAUCUUGACUGAGGCUGUUUUGGAGGGAGUGGCCCAUAUGCAUGAGAUAUUUAAGCAGCAUGCCUUUAAAGAGAAGAUCUUACUUCAUGUUAUCAUAACAAGUUUAGUUUUUGGCCUUGGGUUUCUCCUCUCUAGUUGCCAAGAUUUUUUGAAAAUCAUUUUCCAAGGUUAACUUUGCAGCACAUUCACAUUUUCCAAGAACUUUCUAAGCAGUUCUACAUGAAUGUUGUUCCUUUUUAAUUGUUGAAAUCCCAAG